rnacentral:lncRNA from 1 species
CCACUAUUUUGUUCUCUCCUUUUUUUUUUCUUUUAGCCUUAUCUUCCCAGGGACCUAAGGACACCGGCGGGGCAGAUGUCAGCUGUGGAUUUAGUUCAGACCUAUUAACUCAUCCUGCCAGAGAGUGGUCUGCUAAUGGGAUUCCUUGGCAUCUCUUCCUUCCAUGGAAUCCCAUCUAGAAGUCAUUUCUGGUGCUUGCAUCCUCUGAGCUGUUCUGAGCCAAUCGCCAGCCCAAAGGUUCCUUGCUGUCCGGACACUGCAGAAACCUGUCACCCUUCCAGACUCUGCCUCCUGCCACCUUCUUCAAUGAAGUGUUAAAGCCCCUGUAAAAAGCCCAUUAAGUGUUAUUAAGUCACCGCAAAGAAACAGGCACUCGAGGAGAGGAAAACUCCAGUACAAGAGGAAAGCGCUGCUGAUCAUUCUGCCUAAUUACAAAGAAGAGAGAAAGCAGGGAAAAUGUUUUUAAAUUAUCUUUUAUGUGCUCUGAAAAAGAAUAAUUAAGAGAUGCCCAGGAAGUCGGCGCCUUGACAGGUUCCUGGGGUGUAUUGGCAAUGUGCUGGGAGCUGGGCACUC